AGGUCAAGUUAAGAAGGGCUUAUGGUGGAUACCUAGGCACACAGAGGCGAAGAAGGACGUGGUUACCGACGAAACGCUUCGGGGAGCUGGAAACGCGCGUUGAUCCGAAGAUAUCCGAAUGGGGCAACCCUUAUACUGCUAUUUGAAUAUAUAGGAUAGUAGAGCGAACGCAGCGAAUUGAAACAUCUUAGUAGCUGUAGGAAGAGAAAGAAACCUCGAUUCCCCUAGUAGCGGCGAGCGAAGCGGGAAGAGCCUAAACCAAUCUUAUUAAAGGUUGGGGUUGUGGGACAGCGUUGUGGAAUACCGGAUGCUAGACGAAGGAGUUGAUUGCUCCACCAGAGAAGGUGAAAGUCCUGUAGUCGAAAGUAGAAGGAUACUAGCUGAAUCCCGAGUAGCAUGGGGCACGUGGAAUCCCGUGUGAAUCCUCGAGGACCACCUCGAAAGGCUAAAUACUCCUGUGUGACCGAUAGAGAACAAGUACCGCGAGGGAACGGUGAAAAGAACCCCAGGAGGGGAGUGAAAUAGAACAUGAAACCAUAAGCUUACAAGCAGUCGGAGUCCGAUUAAACGGAUGACGGCGUGCCUGUUGAAGAAUGAGCCGGCGACUUAUAGGCACUGGCAGGUUAAGUCGGGAAUGACGAAGCCCCAGGGAAACCGAGUCUGAAAAGGGCGUUAGUCAGUGUUUAUAGACCCGAACCCGGGUGAUCUAACCAUGUCCAGGUUGAAGCUUGGGUAACACCAAGUGGAGGACCGAACCGACUUCUGUUGAAAAAGGAGCGGAUGAGGUGUGGUUAGGGGUGAAAUGCCAAUCGAACCCGGAGCUAGCUGGUUCUCCCCGAAAUGUGUUUAGGCGCAGCGGUAAUGAUUAUAGCUGGGGGGUAAAGCACUGUUUCGGUGCGGGCUGCGAGAGCGGUACCAAAUCGAGACAAACUCAGAAUACCCAGUGUACACGUUGCCAGUCAGACGGUGGGGGAUAAGCUUCAUCGUCAAGAGGGAAACAGCCCAGACCACCCGCUAAGGUCCCCAAAUUGGUGCUCAGUGAUAAAGGAGGUGGGAGUGCAGAGACAACCAGGAGGUUUGCCUAGAAGCAGCCAUCCUUGAAAGAGUGCGUAAUAGCUCACUGGUCAAGCGCUCCUGCGCCGAAAAUGAACGGGGCUAAGCACUGUACCGAAGCGGUGGGAUUUGAAUAUAAAUCGGUAGGGGAGCGUUCCGUGAUAGUAAGAAGCAAUAGCGGAAGCAGUUGUGGACGAAGCGGAAGUGAGAAUGUCGGCUUGAGUAGCGAAAAUAUGGGUGAGAAUCCCAUACCCCGAAAACCUAAGGGUUCCUCCGGAAGGCUCGUCCGCGGAGGGUUAGUCGGGACCUAAGGCGAGGCCGAAAGGCGUAGUCGAUGGACACAGGGUGAAUAGUCCCUGACUCUGAAUAUGGAGUGUAUAGAAGGACGCAUGAGAGCUAGCCAAACCCUGAGUGGAUUGGGAGGGGACUACGGUCCCUGAUUGGUGAAGGGUAGUGCCAAGAAAAGUUUUAUGCAUGAUGAAGUAUUGAGACCCGUACCCUAAACCGACACAGGUAGGUGGGUAGAGAAUACUAAGGGGCGCGAGGUAACUCUCUCUAAGGAACUCGGCAAAAUGGCCCCGUAACUUCGGGAGAAGGGGUACUAGCGCGAGCUAGUCGCAGUGAAUAGGCCCAGGCGACUGUUUACCAAAAACACAGGUCUCUGCCAACUCGAAAGAGGACGUAUAGGGGCUGACGCCUGCCCAGUGCCGGAAGGUUAAGGAAGUCGGUUAGAUUCGUCGAAGCUGACGACUGAAGCCCCGGUGAACGGCGGCCGUAACUAUAACGGUCCUAAGGUAGCGAAAUUCCUUGUCGGGUAAGUUCCGACCCGCACGAAAGGCGUAACGAUCUGGGCGCUGUCUCGGAGAGAGGCUCGGCGAAAUAGGAAUGUCUGUGAAGAUACGGACUACCUGCACCUGGACAGAAAGACCCUAUGAAGCUUUACUGUAGCUUGGAAUUGGGUUCGGGCUUUGCUUGCGCAGGAUAGGUGGGAGACAAUGAUUUAAUCCUUGUGGGGAUUGAGGAGUCAAUGGUGAGAUACCACUCUGGCAAGGCUAGAAUUCUAACUAUGACCCGUGAGCCGGGCAUGGAACAGUUUCAGGUGGGCAGUUUGACUGGGGCGGUCGCCUCCUAAAGUGUAACGGAGGCGCGCAAAGGUUCCCUCAGGCUGGUUGGAAAUCAGCCGUAGAGUGUAAAGGCAUAAGGGAGCUUGACUGCGAGAGUGACAACUCGAGCAGGGUGGAAACACGGCCUUAGUGAUCCGACGGUUCUGCGUGGAAGGGCCGUCGCUCAACGGAUAAAAGUUACUCUAGGGAUAACAGGCUGAUCUCCCCCAAGAGUUCACAUCGACGGGGAGGUUUGGCACCUCGAUGUCGGCUCAUCGCAACCUGGGGCUGAAGUAGGUCCCAAGGGUUGGGCUGUUCGCCCAUUAAAGCGGUACGUGAGCUGGGUUCAGAACGUCGUGAGACAGUUCGGUCCAUAUCCGGUGUGGGCGUAAGAGUAUUGAGAGGAGUCUUCCCUAGUACGAGAGGACCGGGAAGAACGCACCUCUGGUGUACCUGUUAUCGUGCCAACGGUAGACGCAGGGUAGCUAAGUGCGGAGUGGAUAACCGCUGAAAGCAUCUAAGUGGGAAGCCCACCUCAAGAUGAGUACUCUCACUGAGUAGUCAGGUAAGGUCACGGGAAGACGACCCGUUGAUAGGUUCUAAGUGGACGUGCAGUGAUGUAUGAAGCUGAGGAAUACUAACAGACCGAGGGCUUGACCUU
rnacentral:rRNA from 2 species